rnacentral:rRNA from 1 species
AGAGAGAGACAUGCGCGCAUAUCAAUAAGCGGAGGAAAAGAAACUAACAAGGAUUCCCUUAGUAACGGCGAGUGAAGCGGGAAGAGCUCAAAUUUGAAAUCUUCAAGGUUUUACCUUGACGAAUUGUAGUUUAAAGAAGUGUUUUCUGCUGAAGUUUUGGUAAAAGUUCUUGGAAUAGGACAUCAUAGAGGGUGAGAAUCCCGUAUUUGACCAUUAUUUUCAGCUUUGUGAUACACUUUCAAAGAGUCGGAUUGUUUGGGAAUGCAGUCCAAAAUGGGUGGUAAAUUUCAUCUAAAGCUAAAUAUUGGCGAGAGACCGAUAGCGAACAAGUACCGUGAGGGAAAGAUGAAAAGAACUUUGAAAAGAGAGUUAAACAGUACGUGAAAUUGUCAAAAGGGAAGCGUUUGACACCAGUGUUGUUUUCUCGAAAAUCAAUUAAAAAUGGCUCGAUUUUGUAUUGUUGAGACCUUAAAAGCUCACUGUACAUUUUUCGUGUCUUUUUUAAUGCACUUUUCGUUUAACAAGUCAACAUCAGUUUCUUUUGUUGUAAAAGGGUCAUUGGAAGGUGGCUUUCUUUUCGGAGAAAGUGUUUAUAGCCUUUGGCCUCUGCAAUCGAAGAGACUGAGGUCUGCAGCGUAGACUCUUCGGGGUUAGAUACAUUUGUGCUAAGUUAUAGCUUUUUAUAGACAACUUGUUGACUAUAAUUAGUCUUGUAGCUUACUCGCUUAUGCUAUUUUACCUACGCUUAGGAUGUUGAGUCGUAGAGCACGCAG